GCUAAUGUCCGUCGUGAAGAGGGAAACAACCCAGACCGCCAGCUAAGGUCCCAAAGUCAUGGUUAAGUGGGAAACGAUGUGGGAAGGCCCAGACAGCCAGGAUGUUGGCUUAGAAGCAGCCAUCAUUUAAAGAAAGCGUAAUAGCUCACUGGUCGAGUCGGCCUGCGCGGAAGAUGUAACGGGGCUAAACCAUGCACCGAAGCUGCGGCAGCGACACCGUGUGUUGUUGGGUAGGGGAGCGUUCUGUAAGCCUGUGAAGGUGUGCUGUGAGGCAUGCUGGAGGCAUCAGAAGUGCGAAUGCUGACAUAAGUAACGAUAAAGCGGGUGAAAAGCCCGCUCGCCGGAAGACCAAGGGUUCCUGUCCAACGUUAAUCGGGGCAGGGUGAGUCGACCCCUAAGGCGAGGCCGAAAGGCGUAGUCGAUGGGAAACGGGUUAAUAUUCCCGUACUUGGUGUUACUGCGAAGGGGGGACGGAGAAGGCUAUGUUGGCCGGGCGACGGUUGUCCCGGUUUAAGCGUGUAGGUAUGUGUUCCAGGUAAAUCCGGUUCACUUUAACACUGAGGCGUGACGACGAGGCACUACGGUGCUGAAGCAACAAAUGCCCUGCUUCCAGGAAAAGCCUCUAAGCAUCAGGUAACAUCAAAUCGUACCCCAAACCGACACAGGUGGUCAGGUAGAGAAUACCAAGGCGCUUGAGAGAACUCGGGUGAAGGAACUAGGCAAAAUGGUGCCGUAACUUCGGGAGAAGGCACGCUGACACGUAGGUGAAGUGAUUUACUCACGGAGCUGAAGUCAGCCGAAGAUACCAGCUGGCUGCAACUGUUUAUUAAAAACACAGCACUGUGCAAACACGAAAGUGGACGUAUACGGUGUGACGCCUGCCCGGUGCCGGAAGGUUAAUUGAUGGGGUCAGCGCAAGCGAAGCUCCUGAUCGAAGCCCCGGUAAACGGCGGCCGUAACUAUAACGGUCCUAAGGUAGCGAAAUUCCUUGUCGGGUAAGUUCCGACCUGCACGAAUGGCGUAAUGAUGGCCAGGCUGUCUCCACCCGAGACUCAGUGAAAUUGAACUCGCUGUGAAGAUGCAGUGUACCCGCGGCAAGACGGAAAGACCCCGUGAACCUUUACUAUAGCUUGACACUGAACAUUGAGCCUUGAUGUGUAGGAUAGGUGGGAGGCUUUGAAGUGUGGACGCCAGUCUGCAUGGAGCCGACCUUGAAAUACCACCCUUUAAUGUUUGAUGUUCUAACGUGGACCCGUGAUCCGGGUUGCGGACAGUGUCUGGUGGGUAGUUUGACUGGGGCGGUCUCCUCCUAAAGAG
rnacentral:rRNA from 1 species